GAUGAACGCUGGCGGCGUGCCUAAUACAUGCAAGUCGAGCGAACAGAUAAGGAGCUUGCUCCUUUGACGUUAGCGGCGGACGGGUGAGUAACACGUGGGUAACCUACCUAUAAGACUGGAAUAACUCCGGGAAACCGGGGCUAAUGCCGGAUAACAUUUAGAACCGCAUGGUUCUAAAGUGAAAGAUGGUUUUGCUAUCACUUAUAGAUGGACCCGCGCCGUAUUAGCUAGUUGGUAAGGUAACGGCUUACCAAGGCAACGAUACGUAGCCGACCUGAGAGGGUGAUCGGCCUCACUGGAACUGAGACACGGUCCAGACUCCUACGGGAGGCAGCAGUAGGGAAUCUUCCGCAAUGGGCGAAAGCCUGACGGAGCAACGCCGCGUGAGUGAUGAAGGUCUUCGGAUCGUAAAACUCUGUUAUUAGGGAAGAACAAAUGUGUAAGUAACUGUGCACGUCUUGACGGUACCUAAUCAGAAAGCCACGGCUAACUACGUG
rnacentral:rRNA from 1 species